UACGUAGGGGGCAAGCGUUGUCCGGAAUCAUUGGGCGUAAAGAGCGUGUAGGCGGCCAGGUAGGUCCGCUGUGAAAACUCGAGGCUCAACCUCGAGAUGUCGGCGGAAACCAUCUGGCUAGAGUCCGGAAGAGGAGAGUGGAACUCCUGGUGUAGCGGUGAAAUGCGCAGAUAUCAGGAAGAACACCCGUGGCGAAGGCGGCUCUCUGGGACGGUACUGACGCUGAGACGCGAAAGCGUGGGGAGCGAACAGG
rnacentral:rRNA from 1 species